CUUCUCCACAUCCUCCAGUUUCAGCUCCUGAAACCGGACCUAACUUUUCUUCCUAUAUAGCACUCAGUAGAUUGCUUAUUUGCAGGCUGGAAAGUCUGAUAUCAAGAUGUUUGACAUUGAACAAUGAACUUCUGGCUGCCUGGCAUAAAUCAGCAAAAUGAAUACACCUAAAGUGCCGAAUGGACAGAAUAAUAUCUCCAAGGAAAUUCCACAUCUCUGUCACUGGAACCUGUGAACAUGUCAACCUUGAGCAACAAAAGGAAUUUUCCAGAUGUGUUCAAAUGAAGGACCUUGACAGGAUAGACUAUUUUGAAUUAUCCACCUGGACACGUUGCAACCACAGAAGCUCUUGAAAGUAGAAGAUCUGGGUAGAAGGGAAGGAGACCUGAAACCCCAAUUACUAGCUUUGAAAAAGGGAGGCCAUGAACCAAGGAAUGGGUGAAACUUUUGAAGCAGGAAAAAAGCAAGAUGGGUGUGUGUGGGGGGGAAGCAAGAUGAUGUGCUCCCUUUAGAACUUUCAGGAAGGGAUGCAACCUUGAUAUAACCCUGAUUUUUGACCAGAGAGACUUUUGUUGACUUCUGGCCUACAGAUUAUCAGGGAUCAAUUCUGUGUUUUUUAAGUCACUAAGUUUGGGGUAGUUUGUUAUGGCAGCCAUAGAAACAUAAUCCAGCAGCUGAAAGAAUUUUACACACGCAUAAAUCUGUGUAUCAGCUCCCCAGAAGAAGAUAGAGUGUCUCUGCUCUUUCAAAGAGUUGGAUCAUGUUCCUCCCCAGUUGAUGUCACUCAAAUGAUAUAACCACGAUCAACUUCAAGCUUCAAAGAUUUGUUUUGCCUUUUUCCGUUUGCCUUACAGACAGAAUCAUGUAACAUUCUCCUUCGUGUCUGGCCUCUUUCUUUUAAUGUAACA
ensembl:lncRNA